CGUCCCCUCCCCGCCGCCGCGAAGGGAGCGGCUGACCUCGCCCCCGCCGGAUCUGCCCGCGCACCCCUGGGCAGGGGCACACGCCUUCCUGUUCCGUCGGCCCGGAAAACACAGUGUUGACAGACCCUCAGAUGAAUGCUACAUAUGAAGCAAGACACCAACAACACUCAAGAACUGCAACAAUCAACCAGGUGGGCAUGGAACUGUCCUGAAUAGAAAGG
rnacentral:lncRNA from 1 species